GAUGAACGCUGGCGGCGUGCCUAAUACAUGCAAGUCGAGCGAACAGACGAGGAGCUUGCUCCUCUGACGUUAGCGUCGGACGGGUGAGUAACACGUGGAUAACCUACCUAUAAGACUGGGAUAACUUCGGGAAACCGGAGCUAAUACCGGAUAAUAUAUUGAACCGCAUGGUUCAAUAGUGAAAGACGGUUUUGCUGUCACUUAUAGAUGGAUCCGCGCCGCAUUAGCUAGUUGGUAAGGUAACGGCUUACCAAGGCAACGAUGCGUAGCCGACCUGAGAGGGUGAUCGGCCACACUGGAACUGAGACACGGUCCAGACUCCUAAGGGAGGCAGCAGUAGGGAAUCUUCCGCAAUGGGCGAAAGCCUGACGGAGCAACGCCGCGUGAGUGAUGAAGGUCUUCGGAUCGUAAAACUCUGUUAUUAGGGAAGAACAAAUGUGUAAGUAACUAUGCACGUAUUGACGGUACCUAAUCAGAAAGCCACGGCUAACUACGUG
rnacentral:rRNA from 1 species